GGCUCGGUAGCUUAUUUAGUUAGAAAAGCACUUGUCUAACAUAUAAGGGUCGCGAGUUCAAAUCUCACCUGAGUUG
rnacentral:tRNA from 1 species